rnacentral:ribozyme from 1 species
AAAAAAACCCCCCAAAAUAAAAAAAAUUGAAAAAUGAAAAAAAGGGGGAAAGUAAACAUUAAAAAACAUAAGGAGAUGGUGUCUUCUUUUUCUUUCUUCUUCUUCUUCUUCUUCUUCUUCUU